rnacentral:tRNA from 1 species
GUUUUAAUAGUUUAAUAAAAAUUUUGAUUUUGUAAAUCAAUGAUAAGAAUGUUCUUUUAAAACU